rnacentral:rRNA from 1 species
AGAGUUUGAUUAUGGCUCAGGAUGAACGCUGGCGGCGUGCUUAACACAUGCAAGUCGAACGGGGAUGCUUAUGGAAGGAGUGCUUGCAUUCCGGAAGGAUGUAUCUUAGUGGCGGACGGGUGAGUAACGCGUGGGUAACCUGCCCCAUACCGGGGGAUACCACCUGGAAACAGGUGCUAAUACCGCAUAAGCGCACGGGAGCGCAUGCUCCUGUGUGAAAAACUCCGGUGGUAUGGGAUGGACCCGCGUCUGAUUAGCCAGUUGGCAGGGUAACGGCCUACCAAAGCGACGAUCAGUAGCCGGCCUGAGAGGGUGGACGGCCACAUUGGGACUGAGACACGGCCCAAACUCCUACGGGAGGCAGCAGUGGGGAAUAUUGCACAAUGGGGGAAACCCUGAUGCAGCGACGCCGCGUGAGUGAAGAAGUAUUUCGGUAUGUAAAGCUCUAUCAGCAGGAACGAGACAAGACGGUACCUGACUAAGAAGCCCCGGCUAACUACGUGCCAGCAGCCGCGGUAAUACGUAGGGGACAAGCGUUAUCCGGAAUCACUGGGUGUAAAGGGAGCGUAGACGGCUGAGCAAGCCUGAAGUGAAAGGCGGGGGCCCAACCCCUGGACUGCUUUGGGAACUGUACGGCUGGAGUGC